rnacentral:rRNA from 1 species
CAGCAGUAGCCGCGGGAAUACGGAGGGUGCAAGCGUUAAUCGGAAUUACUGGGCGUAAAGCGCACGCAGGCGGUCUGUCAAGUCAGAUGUGAAAUCCCCGGGCUUAACCUGGGAACUGCAUUUGAAACUGGCAGGCUAGAGUCUUGUAGAGGGGGGUAGAAUUCCAGGUGUAGCGGUGAAAUGCGUAGAGAUCUGGAGGAAUACCGGUGGCGAAGGCGGCCCCCUGGACAAAGACUGACGCUCAGGUGCGAAAGCGUGGGGAGCAAACAGGAUUAGAUACCCCUGUAGUCCCUGUCUCUUAUAC